rnacentral:rRNA from 1 species
CCUACGGGAGGCAGCAGUGGGGGAUAUUGCACAAUGGGGGGAACCCUGAUGCAGCGACGCCGCGUGAGCGAUGGAGUACUUCGGUAUGUAAAGCUCUGUCAGCAGGGAAGAAAAUGACGGUACCUGACCAAGAAGCCCCGGCUAAAUACGUGCCAGCAGCCGCGGUAAUACGUAUGGGGCAAGCGUUAUCCGGAUUUACUGGGUGUAAAGGGUGCGUAGGCGGCCCUGCAAGUCAGAAGUGAAAUCCAUGGGCUUAACCCGUGAACUGCUUUUGAAACUGCAGGACUUGAGUGGA